rnacentral:rRNA from 1 species
AGAACGUCGUGAGACAGUUCGGUCCCUAUCCGUCGCAGGCGUAGGAAAUUUGAGAAGACCUGUCCUUAGUACGAGAGGACCGGGAUGGACGUACCUCUGGUGUACCAGUUGUUCUGCCAAGGGCAUGGCUGGGGAGCUAUGUACGGAAUGGAUAAGCGCUGAAAGCAUCUAAGCGCGAAGCCAACUUCAAGAUAAGAUUUCCCACCGCAAGGGUAAGACUCCAGAAAGACUAUCUGGUUGAUAGGUCGAAGGUGUAAGUGCAGCAAUGUAUUUAGCUUAUCGAUACUAAUAGGUCGAGGACUUGACCAAU